rnacentral:tRNA from 1 species
GACUCAGUGGUUCAAUGGUAAAGUGCUCGUCGCGGAGCCAGAGGGUCUUGGGUUCGAUCCCCGAUGGAGUCG